rnacentral:rRNA from 1 species
AUUGAACGCUGGCGGCAGGCUUAACACAUGCAAGUCGAGCGGGGUGAGGUGCUUCGGUACUGAUCCUAGCGGCGGACGGGUGAGUAAUGCUUAGGAAUCUGCCAUUUAGUGGGGGACAACAUUCCGAAAGGAAUGCUAAUACCGCAUACGUCCUACGGGAGAAAGCAGGGGAUCUUCGGACCUUGCGCUAAAUGAUGAGCCUAAGUCGGAUUAGCUAGUUGGUGGGGUAAAGGCCUACCAAGGCGACGAUCUGUAGCGGGUCUGAGAGGAUGAUCCGCCACACUGGGGCUGGGACACGGACCAGACUCCUACGGGAGGCAGCAGUGGGGAAUAUUGGACAAUGGGCGGAAGCCUGAUCCAGCCAUGCCGCGUGUGUGAAGAAGGCCUUUUGGUUGUAAAGCACUUUAAGCGAGGAGGAGGCUACCUGGAUUAAUACUCUAGGAUAGUGGACGUUACUCGCAGAAUAAGCACCGGCUAACUCUGUGCCAGCAGCCGCGGUAAUAC